GUAGGGGGCAAGCGUUGUCCGGAUUUAUUGGGCGUAAAGAGCGUGUAGGCGGCCAGGUAGGUCGGUUGUGAAAACUAGAGGCUCAACCUCUAGACGUCGACCGAAACCAUCUGGCUAGAGUCCGGAAGAGGAGAGUGGAAUUCCUGGUGUAGCGGUGAAAUGCGCAGAUAUCAGGAAGAACACCCGUGGCGAAGGCGGCUCUCUGGGACGGUACUGACGCUGAGACGCGAAAGCGUGGGGAGCGAACAGGAUUAGAUACCCUGGUAGUCCACGCCGUAAACGAUGAGUGCUAGGUGUGGGGGGUGUCGACUCCCUCCGUGCCGAAGCUAACGCAUUAAGCACUCCGCCUGGGGAGUACGGCCGCAAGGCUAAA
rnacentral:rRNA from 1 species